UACGAAGGGUGCAAGCGUUACUCGGAAUUACUGGGCGUAAAGCGUGCGCAGGCGGUUUUGUAAGUUUGUCGUGAAAUCCCCGGGCUCAACCUCGGGAACUGCGUUUGUGACUGUAUGACUAGAGUACGGUAGAGAGGGGUGGAAUUCCUGGGUGUAGCAGUGAAAUGCGUAGAUAUCAGGAGGAACAUCGAUGGCGAAGGCAGCCCCUUGGACCUGUACUGACGCUCAUGCACGAAAAGCGUGGGGGAGCAAACAGG
rnacentral:rRNA from 1 species